rnacentral:misc_RNA from 1 species
UUUCCGUAGGUGAACCUGCGGAAGGAUCAUUACUGAGUGAGGGCCCCUCGGGGUCCAACCUCCCACCCGUGUUUAACGAACCUUGUUGCUUCGGCGGGCCCGCCUCACGGCCGCCGGGGGGCAUCCGCCCCCGGGCCCGCGCCCGCCGAAGCCACCUGUGAACGCUGUCUGAAGUAUGCAGUCUGAGACAAUUAUUAAAUUAGUUAAAACUUUCAACAACGGAUCUCUUGGUUCUG